rnacentral:rRNA from 1 species
ACGGAAGGCAGCAGUGGGGAAUAUUGCACAAUGGAGGAAACUCUGAUGCAGCCACGCCGCGUGCGCGAAGACGGUCUUCGGAUUGUAAAGCUCUGUCCUUGGGGACGAAGAAAGUGACGGUACCUAAGGAGGAAGCCCCGGCUAACUACGUGCCAGCAGCCGCGGUAAUACGUAGGGGGCAAGCGUUAUCCGGAAUUAUUGGGCGUAAAGAGUACGUAGGUGGUUUUGUAAGCGUAAGGUGAAAGCCCGGGGCUUAACCCCGGCCAGCCAUACGAACUGCAAGACUUGAGUGCAGGAGGGGAAAGUGGAAUUCCUAGUGUAGCGGUGAAAUGCGUAGAUAUUAGGAGGAACACCAGUGGCGAAGGCGACUUUCUGGAUUGUAACUGACACUGAGGUACGAAAGCGUGGGGAGCAAACAGGAUUAGAUACCCUGGUA